rnacentral:lncRNA from 1 species
GAUGAGGAACGGUUGAAGGAGCUGGGUAGGUUGAGCCUGGAAAAGAAGAGGAUGAGGAGAGAUAGGAUUGUUGUUGUUGUUGUUUAGUCGUGUCCGACUCUUCAUGACCCCAUCGACCAGAGCACGCCAGGCACUCUCGUCUUCCACUGCCUCCCACAGUUUGGUCAGACUCAUGUUUGUCGCUUCGAGAACACUGUCCAACCAUCUCGUCCUCUGUCGUCCCCUUCUCCUUGUGCCCUCCAUCUUUCCCAACAUCAGGGUCUUUUCCAGGGAGUCUUCUCUUCUCAUGAGGUGGCCAAAGUACUGGAGCCUCAGCUUCAGGAUCUGUCCUUCCAGUGAGCACUCAGGGCUGAUUUCCUUCAGAAUGGAUCGGUUUGAUCUUCUUGCAGUCCAUGGGACUCUCAAGAGUCUCCUCCAGCACCAUAAUCCAAAAGCAUCCAUUCUUUGGCGAUCAGCCUUCUUUAUGGUUCAGCUGUCACUUCCAUACAUCACUACUGGGAAAACCAUAGCUUUUACUAUAUGGACCUUUGUUGGCAAGGUGAUGUCUCUGCUUUUUAAGAUGCUGUCUAGGUUUGUCAUUGCUUUUCUCCCAAGAAGAGAGAUAUGAUAGCCAUCUUCAAAUAUCUUAAGGGCAUAAAAGAGGGAGCAUGCUUGUUUUCUCUUGCUCUAGAAGGUAGGACUUGAACCCAUGGCUUCAAGUUACAAGGAAGGAGAUUCCGGCCUAAACAUCAGGAAGAACUUUCUGAUGGUAAGAGCCAUUUGACAGUGACACGGUCUCCGUCAGAAGAUGGGUAACUUCUUCCUUCCUUGGAGGUUUUGAAGCAGAGGUUGGAUGGUCUUCCAUCAGGGAUGCUUUAGUUGUUCCAGCAUUGCAGGGGGGUAGACGGCCCUUGUGGUCCCUUCGAAAUCUACAGUUAUUCGAUUAUAAAGUACAACAAUUCCGCAUUCCGUUGUUUUAUAUUGGGAAAUGUUUUUUUAACUACAUAUUUAUGGAUUGAACUGUUUUAUUUGCUUUACAGGUGCAUAUUUCAUUGCUUGUAGCCGGCCUUGGGACUUUGCAGUGGGGGGGGGGGCUAAUGAGCCUAAUAAAAUUCAAACUGUUUCAUAUGCAAACGCAGUUCCAACUCCCAUACAGAUACAUGCUGGGAUAAAUAGGGCUGCUUUGCGGGAGGCUGUUUUAAGGGGGGAGGGGGGCUUUAUUCCAUCAAAAUCACAUUUCUUUAAAAAGAAUAAAAUAAAAAUUAUAGAAUAAGAAACUACCUCUUCCCCCUCAGCUGCCAUGUCUGUUUGUGACAUCACUGACAGUCCUUACAUAGCCAGGGAUGGGGAAACAUCUGCCCAACCCUACUAGGCCUCACAUUUUGGGGGGGGCACUUGUUAAUAAAGAAAUGAUGACUGAGGAGUCCCCUCACAGCCUUCCCCUGCAUUUGCUAAAUAAUCACAUCCCUCAUUUGUGUUGUUGGGAUAAAUUUAUAUAACAUUCCAAUGAACUUACAGAAGAAUAUAUCUGAUAUACCGAAGAAUAUCAACAAUCCAGCACAGAUAAUUUUACCCAUGAUGUUUUGUUUUUCCAGAAUCUGCUAAAACAGAAGGGAGAGGUCAGCCGUUACCAGUAAGGGAAGAAAUAUUCCUUCGAGAAGCUUCUCCCGAAAUGGAAGGCACACAAGACUCUGUAAUUCUCUUCAUGUGGGUGGCCUUAGGAAGCUGAAUGCGAAGGAGGCAGGUACCAGCCCUUUGGAUUGCAGCAAGGACAACCUGGGAGCAUCUCUCACCUGCUGUGCUUGUACCUCCUCACUCUCCCAUUCACUACCUCUGCACCAAGCCAAGAACAAAGACCAACAUCUCGUCCUUUGAGCCCCAUGUUGGGCAAAAGAUUCCUGCAGGGGGUUGGACUCAAAGACCCUCGUGGUCCCUUCUAACUCUACAAUUCUAUGAUUCUGUGAUCUAAGAGCAUUGCUUUCAAGUGAACACAUCAUUCUCAGUGCCCUGAAACACAUUUAAAAGGCAUUCAAAGGUUUUUAUAAAAAUAAUCUUUAUAAAAAAUAAUAAUUUAUUAGUUUUCCAAUUGAAAUUGUCAUAUGAUCUCAACAAUCAAGCAGAAACCACCUAAAAUAGCAUAAGAUAUAAAGUCUUUCUUCCUGCUCCCCAGAGAUUUUAAGCUGUUAAAAGGGACCAAAUGGGGAAAUCCUUUCAAUUCCUAAGAGGCAGUGAGUUGAGGGAGGCCAGGGCCACAUCCACACCAUUCGUUUAAAGUGCAGUGAAGCACUUUAAACACUCAUGGCUUCUUACCCCAAAGAAUUCUGGGAGCUAUAGUU